AAAGCGCAAGUCAUCAGCUUGUGCUGAUUACGUCCCUGCCCUUUGUACACACCGCCCGUCGCUACUACCGAUUGAAUGGCUUAGUGAGACCCUCGGAUCGAUUUACUUAGACUAGCAACAGUCUUUGUGAGUUGAGAAGUUGGUCAAACUUGGUCAUUUAGAGGAAGUAAAAGUCGUAACAAGGUUUCCGUAGGUGAACCUGCGGAAGGAUCAUUAUCAAUAUUCAGCGCGAAAGAAAAAAUCUUUUCUUUUCGCGUAUGUAUUUAAAACCCACACCUUUUUUUUUUGAAACAUAUAAAUUUUUUUAUUAAAGUAAAAAAGAUCACUUUCAACAACGGAUCUCUUGGUUCUCGCAUCGAUGAAGAACGUAGCAAAGUGCGAUAAGUAAUGUGAAUUGCAGAAUUCCGUGGAUCAUCGAAUUUUUGAACGCAAAUUGCACUCUUUUUACGAAGAGUAUGCCUGUUUGAGGGUCAUUAAAAUAAAAAAAUCGAUUUUUGUUACCCCUUCUAAUGAGGAGUAUCAUCAUUUCGGAAUUGAGUUACCUUAAAAACCUUUUUUAAGUGACUUAAAAUUGAUCUUUCGUUGAUUUGAGCGCAUUUUUAUGGUUUAAACAACCUUUUGUGUGCUUUUUAACAAUCGACAAAAACUUUUUUAUUAGGUACGACCAUAUAUUUAUCAUGGUUUUCGUACCCAUAAAUAAUCAUAUGAAAUUUUGACCUCAAAUCAGGUAAGAUCACCCGCUGAACUUAAGCAUAUCAAUAAGCGGAGGAAAAGAAAAUAACAAUGAUUCCCCUAGUAACGGCGAGCGAAGAGGGAAUAGCUCAAAUUUUAAAUCUGUUAGGUUUACCUAACCGAGUUGUAAUUUGAAGAAGCGUUUUCCGAGUGUUCGAUUAGCCCAAAUCCUUUGGGAUAAGGUAUCAUGGAGGGUGAGAAUCCCGUCCGGUUAAAUCGAGCUUCUUUACGAUACGCUUUCUAAGAGUCGAGUUGUUUGGGAUUGCAGCUCAAAAUGGGAGGUAAAUUUCUCCUAAGGCUAAAUACAGGCGAGAGACCGAUAGCGAACAAGUACCGUGAGGGAAAGAUGAAAAGAACUUUGAAAAGAGAGUUAAACAGUACGUGAAAUUGUUGAAAGGGAAACGAUUAAAGUCAGUCGUACUGACGGGGAAUCAACCUUUCGAACGUGAUAACGUGGGGUUCAAAGAGAUUUUGUUCUCCCGGCAUUCGCGUUUUUUUGGUGCACUUUCUCGUGUUUUGUAGGUUAGCAUCGGUUUUGACCGUUAUAAAAUGAUCGGAGGGAUGUAGCUUCGAUUUCGAUUGAAGUGUUAUAACCUUUGGUAAAUGUAACUGUUGGGACCGAGGAUUGCAACGGAUACCCUAACGGGCUAUUCGUCUGACCUCUGAUACGUCACUUUGGCUUCGAAAGCUUGCUUACGAUGUUAAAGGCGUCGGUCAAAAGGUUAGAACGGAUUAAAUUCGUUAAGGAUGCUGACGUAAUGACUUUAAACGACCCGUCUUGAAACACGGACCAAGGAG
rnacentral:sRNA from 1 species